ACAUGCCGGUGCAACUCGAUCGCUACCGUAGAGACAGGACCACAACAAAAAUGGGACAAAUGUCUAGAUCGAAAUGCGUUAAAAGGAGGCAUUUGGAAUAAUCUUGUUGCAAUGAAUGAUCAAUUUAGUGGAAAACGGUAACGUAACCAUGUGCUAAAUUUAUAGUCGGAAUAUCAAACUGACUUGUCAAGCUUUUGAGCUGGAUAGCCUUCCAGCAAGCAACCAGGCCUGUUGAUGAUGUGGAGUGGAGAAGUAAGAAAAAUGGACCAAAACAAGGUAGACCAUUCGAAUACCUCAGUAGAACGUUUAAUAGCCUAUCUACGCUCAAUAUGUAUGCUCAAAUUCACCUUGAGAGCUACCCUAAAGAUGGAGAGUUAUUGUGUGUAAAGGCGUAGUUAGGCUACUGUUCAGUCCCAUCACUUUUCCAGUUCCAAGCAUCGCCGUAAGCGUAUCCUCUCAGGGCAGCUGUCGCCUGCACGUUAGGUUGGUCCAUAUGGAGUCUAUGAAAUAUGACUGGACUAUUGCACGAGGGCAGACGUGCAAGGAUAAAGAUGCACUUCCGCGCCUCCAGCAACACAGCUCACCGCCACCGGUCAUGACUUGGGACACUUCGUACAUUUGCGACGCAGAAGACUUAGAGCUUGCGAGAAAAAGGAGAGAGUUGCACUUAAUUGAAGAACAGAUUGCUCGCAAGAAGGCAUCAAUCGCUUUAAAAAAGAACGAACUGCAACGAACGACGUUGCAGAGGGAAAAUGAUAAUCAAGUAGACAAGGAAGAAUGGAACCGUCAAAUGGAGACGGACACACAACAUGAAAAACCUUCACUACUCACCAGCAAUAACUGUCCACAGAGGCCACCCCAUCUCACAGAAAGACAAAUUAGUAUUCUGAAUGAGCUGACACAGCCACAUGUGUCCGCCUUUGAACCCUCAGAUCCUGCUCCGUUUAUGAAAAGUUUUGUGGAGAAGAGAAAUGCUGAAAUCUUACAGAGAGAUUCGAAAGAAAAACGGACGUCUCAAUCAGAUUUCAAUGCAACCCUCACCCCAGAACAUAAAGUUGAAGCUUUGAGACCUCACCAUCACUCAGAGCAUGCACUGCCAUCACCAGGUUACAAGCCCUCAGAUCCUGCUCCAUUUAUGACAAGUUUUGUGGAGAAGAGAAAUGCGGAAAUCCUACAGAGAGAUUUGAAAGAAAAACGGACGUCUCAAUUACACUUCAAUGCAACCCUCACCCCAGAACAUAAAGUUGAAGCUUUGAGACCUCACCAUCACUCAGAGCAUGCACUGCCAUCACCAGGUUACAAGAGUUCAACUGCACCACCAGAUCCAUUCAGUAUGGAUCACUCUCCGGGAACAAGCAGCAGCGGUCAAUCUUCAAAGGGCUUCAACCGCUUCCUCAGCAUCCUUAAUCAAGGGGUAGAUUUAGGAAGGCUCUCUGACAUAGUGAAUGCGGGUCAGGUCGGAGCUGUGGAUAACAAACCAACAGCUUCGGUUCACGGUGAAACACGCAGGAGUGUGGAUUUGGACCGUAAUGACUCAAGAGACAAGCACAGAGAAUCAAGAGUCGAGGAGCGGGGCUCAGGAAGCAAGAGAGGCGACUCCGGUGUUGAUGACGAUCACUUAAAAGACAAGGACAGACCGUCCAGACACAACCUGGGAGACUCUGAAGAGAAGGAUGGGAGAUCAACAGGCAGGAGGAGUGACUCGAGAGACAGACACAGGCACUCAGGCGACCGGAAAAUCACAACGGACUGGAGAGAAACAGACAGGGUCUGGGACUCAAGAGAGAGAGACAGGAGUUGGGAUUCCAAAGUGGAAGACAGGAGUUGGGAUUCCAAAGUGGAAGACAGGGGCUGGCACUCCGGAGAGAGAGACAGGGAUGCAAGACACAGGAGGUUGGAACCGAGAGAUGGUUACUGGGAUCCACAGGACAGAGACAACAAACCUAAGAAAGGUGAUUGGGACAGGGAAUGGGCAGGCGGGGAUCGGGAGUCCAAAGACCACAGGCGGGAAUCCCAGAGUCCGAGCAGAAGAUACUCAAGAGACGGCAGCAGCAGGAGGAGCAAGAGCAGAUCGCCCAGCCCCGUCUCAUCCUCAUCAGAAUACAAGAGGAAGACCGAGAAGAGGGAACAAUUCUCUAGGAUCCAGACCCUCCUUCAGACCGUCGGGCUGGAGUUAGGAAUCGAAGACGUGGACCGACUGAAUAGUAGGACCCAGGAGCGGCUCUAUGGAGUGAAGCGCCCAAGAGCCAACUUGGACAAUCAUUCCCCAGAUUCUCACCGCAGGCAGCAUGACUCCCAGGAGCACAGAGUCACAUCCAGUGACGUCAAACGUCCUCGGAGAGUUUCUGGAUCUGACCUUAGUCAUUCAGCAGAGUGCUCCGCAGAAGGCAACCCUGUCGGGCCUGCUGCCCAGAAUAUACCCGUGUCCACAUUGUCACAGUCUCAACCAGCACACUAUUCAAGCUAUACAGUGAUGCAUCAUAACUCCUGUGAAGGGCAAUACCCCAGUGCCUCUGUCCAGAGCUGGACCCCUGUUGGAUGGAGCGGAGUGCCUCCUUCAUAUGGCCCACCCCAGCAUCCUCCACCUCCAACACCACUGCCACCACCACAAACUCCCAUUCAUCUGCCUCCACCACCACUACCACAACCCCAAAUGUAUUUACCUCCACAACCCCAAACUCAUGUGCCUCCACCAACGCUACCACAAUCCCCAAUUACUUUGCCUCCACCACCUCUACCACAAACUCCCACUCAUUUACCUCCACCACCACUACCACAACCCCCAACUCAUCUGCCUCACCUCCAAUCACUCCCAAACCUUCCCCUUCCCCCUUCAACCUACUCACUCUCUCCACCAUUCCCACCGCCCACACAGGGGACGUCAUGUCUCGGGGUGGCAGAAAUGCAGUGGAGGAAGGAGAAUGAGAAGCAGCGUUGCCUCUCGACCUUGAUAGAGGUGCCUCUGACGGCAACACUGAAGCCAACAAUGUCCAAGAGCAGUACACAUGGAAAACAUGGAAACAAAUGGAAAAAAUGGAAACAAAGACAGAAAGCAAUUAGGAGAGCAGCAGCUGUUGCUGCUGAAGGGUCCAAGAGGGCUGCCGCUGCUGCCUUUGCCGCCGCUGCAGCUACGGCUAGAGCCAACAUGACCACUGCACCGCAUACUGCAACUGUUACCCCUGGGACUCCAACGCCUGCUGCGGCUGGUACUUCUGCUUUUACCGUUUCUACCGCUAGUGCUAAACCAGCUAAACCAGUGAUAGUACUUCGCCUAAAGAGUGGAGACGUACUGUAGUGGGAGCCAGCAAACAUGGAUGAUUGUAAGAACAAUACUGGAUGAGUUGAAGAGAAAAAGAUGGGAGAGCGCUGCAGGGGUCACUAGUGAAUGAAAAUGUUUCAGGUGCUCUUCAAGAGAAAUGGGCAGAUAGGAUUGAAACGGACGAAGAUGAAUCCACCAUUACAGAAGAGUCGAAGGAAUACACCAUCUUCCAGAUGACCUACAGGGACAAAAACAAGAUCGACCACCUAGCAGAUCUGGCCGCAAUGAAUGUGAAGAUAAACAGAGACGGCAUCCUGGAAGAGAUACGAAAAACAUCUGAGCGACGCAGCAGCGCCAUUUGUCAGUUUGUGCAGGAUAUGCGCUCAUUCUGAAACGUGUUUUUAACAUGGACGUGUGGCCUUUAGUAUGAGCUUCCUUGUGUCUGACUAGAUUUAUUUAAGAUUAUAUGUAUAUUUAAGAUCAUAUUUGUCUUUUUAAUUUUCAUGACACUGGCAAUGUAGGCCUAAAUAGACACAAAAAUAAAUUAUUUUUCACUGUCCCAUCAGUUGCUACUGAAUGUGUUUAACUAUACAUUGUGUGAUAUUCAUAAUAAAGUUAUGGGAGUUUUCCGGGAAUUGGAACAGCCACAGGAGAAACAGCUGUUGGCAGGUAUGAAUGUAAUAGAAUUCUCUCUGACCUCUCAACUUAAAGGGACAGAAUAUUUUGUUAUUUCAUAAACAUGUAUGUCAUCUUACUUAUCUUUUUUAAAUUAUUUUACAAUAUACAUGUUUUUUUUCUGUGUCAUAACUGUUAGGCCUACUUGUUAAAAUAAAUGAUGAAUGUCACUACCUAUUCUCUCAUAGCCUGACGUAGCCAGAUUCAAUUCUAUUCAGAAUUUCUUAAACUUAAAUGUUGUGGGCGUGGUCAAUUCGGACUGGCCUCCAGGGUAAUUCUAAAGUGGAUGACACCUAAAUAAACAAAUAUUCUUUGGCCUUAAUCUGGAUAGAUGAACCCUUCUGACAGCUCGUAGAAGCAGACAAUAUGGCUUCGCUAGGUUAAUAGCCAAGGCUAUUAUAAGAAUUUGAAUAUAAGAAUAUAAUAAUAAGAAUUUGGCUGUGAUGUUGGUUUACAUUAUAUGUGUGGGUGAUAAGUGUGGCAUAUAAGGCUGAACAAAAGUUUUUACUAAUUUUUCAAAUAUGAGACAUGAAAAUGAUUGUGUUGUGUUGCACUGACUUCUAGAAAAAAUUGUCUUUAGGAUCUAUUUUUUUUAUUAUUAUUAUUUGAUUUGGAAUCUGAAUGUAUUUACCAGUUGGUGUAACACUGUCAUGUGUCAUGAAAGUUAUUGUGCAUAGAGUGAAAAUGGGGUAUAGAUUUCCUGUAACUAUCUUCAUGUCUAGGAAAUCCUUGUGCACAUCCAUCACAUUUUGCGUUAUUUUUCUUAAUCAUCGCGCAGAGCAAGAUUAUCAAUAUUCCAAUAUUAGAUUCAUUCUUGCAAACCUUAUUAGAAA